UACAGACAGGGAAUGGAAUCCGGGAAUGGAUAUCCCGGUGCAAGCGAGGUAGGAGUGCUGUUGGCAAAUCCGCGGCACGAUCUGAAGACGUGACGCGUACCGAACAUAAGUAGGGAAGUCCAGGCCCCUGGCUGUCAAGAAAAGCCGCUAUUGUUUUAUAUGUGCCCGUACCGCAAACCGACACAGGUGGAUGAGGAGAGAAUCCUAAGGCCGACGGGAGAAGUAUUGUUAAGGAACUCGGCAAAAUGACUCCGUAACUUCGGGAGAAGGAGUGCCUUGAGAGUGGCCGCGGAGAAAUGGCCCAAGCAACUGUUUAGCAAAAACACAGGUCUAUGCAAAACCGCAAGGUGAAGUAUAUGGGCUGACGCCUGCCCGGUGCUGGAAGGUUAAGGGGAGAGGUUAGCGCAAGCGAAGCUUUGAACUUAAGCCCCAGUAAACGGCGGCCGUAACUAUAACGGUCCUAAGGUAACGAAAUUCCUUGUCGGGUAAGUUCCGUCCCGCACGAAAGGCGUAAUGAUUUGGGCACUGUCUCAACGAUACACCCGGUGAAAUUGAAAUACCAGUGAAGAUGCUGGUUACCUGCGCCAGGACGGAAAGACCCCAUGGAGCUUUACUCCAGUUUGAUACUGGGAUUCGGCAUGGUAUGUACAGGAUAGGUGGGAGACUGAGAAGGUAUGACGUCAGUUGUACCGGAGUCGCUGUUGGGAUACCACCCUUACCAUGUUGGAUUUCUAACCUGUGGCCGUAAGCCGGUCAGGGGACAAUGUCAGGCGGGGAGUUUGACUGGGGCGGUCGCCUCCGAAAGGGUAUCGGAGGCGCUCAAAGAUUCCCUCAGAAUGGUUGGAAACCAUGCGAAGAGUGCAAAGGCAGAAGGGAGCCUGACUGUGACACCGACGGGUGGAGCAGGUACGAAAGUAGGACUUAGUGAUCCGGUGGUAUAAAGUGGGAUUGCCAUCGCUCAACGGAUAAAAGCUACCCUGGGGAUAACAGGCUUAUCACUCCCAAGAGUUCACAUCGACGGAGUGGUUUGGCACCUCGAUGUCGGCUCAUCGCAUCCUGGAGCUGUAGCAGGUUCCAAGGGUUGGGCUGUUCGCCCAUUAAAGCGGUACGCGAGCUGGGUUCAGAACGUCGUGAGACAGUUCGGUCCCUAUCCGGCGCAGGCGGAGGAAAUUUGAUAGGAGCUGUCCUUAGUACGAGAGGACCGGGAUGGACGGACCGCUGGUGUAUCUGUUGUACUGCCAAGUGCAUAGCAGAGUAGCCAAGUCUGGAAGGGAUAAACGCUGAAGGCAUCUAAGCGUGAAGCCCCCCUAAAGAUAAGAUUUCCCAUACCAUAAGGUAGUAAGACCCCUUGAAGACGACGAGGUAGAUAGGGCAGAGGUGGAAGAACGGUAACGUAUGGAGCUGACUGUUACUAAUCGGUCGAGGCUUUAACCG
rnacentral:rRNA from 1 species